GGCUGACACUCUAUCCACUGAGCCAAACCGGUUUCGGCAAGAGAAUUGAAUUAUUAACAGUGCAUUUUUUUGCAUUUCUUAUGGUUCUCGGGGCCUCAUCUACAGUAUAUACAUAGGUAUUGUGACAUAUUUAUGUAUUUCAGUUCUCUCUUACAUGUUUUCAAACUUUAUUUGCUAUUUUUUCCUAUGACUUCAUCUUAUUUUUUUUUAACAAUUUCUUCGCGAUUUCUUCCUCAGGACUUCUGCUGUGCUUCCGUUCUUUUAUUUUUCUCUUUCGUGGAUGACAUGUUCUCUGGAAGCUUGCUUAGACCAAGUUCUUGGCCCUUCAGGCUGCCUCCAUGUGAACAGGAGUUCAUUUUUUGAAUAGUCGAUGCUCAACCCCUGAGCCAGCCCCGGGGGCUGGGCGCCCCUUUCGGAUGAAACGGAGUCUCCUGAACAGGAAAGCGGAUUCGCUCACAGUCGGUGGGAAGCCCAUUGGACGGCGCUGUGAACCCAAAGACGAGACGUGGUCACGAUCCCUCUCUUAUAACCGAGAACACGGGCUCCGGGCUGCAAGGGCCUUGCUCAAGGUCACAGCCAAGGUCAGGGCGCAGGGAGGUUCCCGA